AUGCUUGAAGUAAUGUUGGUACCACGUGACGAAGAAGAGGCAGCAGGUUUGCCAGGUGAGGGUGUUGGUGGCGGAGGACACGCGGGGGUGGUCCUCGGCGACGGCGAGGCCAGCGGCGGCGGAGUCCGGCGAAGCGACGGCGAGCAGCAUGUAGGCGUGCACGGCGAACAUGGCGACGGCCAGCAGCAGGAAGGCGCCGAUGGAGAAGGCGAGCGCCGAGCGGCCGCUGCCGUUGUAGAAGCACAGCUCCACCUGCGCCCCGCUCCCGGCCACGGUCAUCAGGUAGUUGGACACCUGCAGCCAGCCAGCAUCAGCACGAGCUAUAGUAAGCUAGCAAGGCCGCGUGUUGGUCGGUGUGCGUGCGUGCGUACCUCGGAGCGCGAGCCCUCGGCGGCGAGGCAGAGGAUGAAGCUGACGAGGCCGCAGAGCACGGAGAGCGCGACGAGGGCGACGGCGAUCUGGCUGCCGGAGCGCCCCGCCCGGCGCUCCUGCGCCUUGCGGAGGGACAGGUCGUCGUGCGUCACGGCCGGCCGCAUUGCGAAAUCCUCACUUGAUUGA
rnacentral:rRNA from 1 species